rnacentral:rRNA from 1 species
UACGGAGGGUGCAAGCGUUAAUCGGAAUUACUGGGCGUAAAGCGUGCGUAGGCGGUUGUUUAAGUCUGCUGUGAAAUCCCCGGGCUCAACCUGGGAAUGGCAGUGGAUACUGGACAGCUAGAGUGUGUCAGAGGAUGGUGGAAUUCCCGGUGUAGCGGUGAAAUGCGUAGAGAUCGGGAGGAACAUCAGUGGCGAAGGCGGCCAUCUGGGACAACACUGACGCUGAGGCACGAAAGCGUGGGGAGCAAACAGG